rnacentral:tRNA from 1 species
GUCCCCGUAGCUCAGAUGGAUAGAGCGACAGCCUCCUAAGCCGUAGGUCGCAGGUUCGAAUCCUGUCGGGGACG